rnacentral:rRNA from 1 species
GAUGAACGCUGGCGGCGUGCCUAAUACAUGCAAGUCGAGCGAACAGAUGAGGAGCUUGCUCCUCUGACGUUAGCGGCGGACGGGUGAGUAACACGUGGAUAACCUACCUAUAAGACUGGGAUAACUUCGGGAAACCGGAGCUAAUACCGGAUAAUAUAUUGAACCGCAUGGUUCAAUAGUGAAAGACGGUUUUGCUGUCACUUAUAGAUGGAUCCGCGCCGCAUUAGCUAGUUGGUAAGGUAACGGCUUACCAAGGCGACGAUGCGUAGCCGACCUGAGAGGGGUGACCGGCCACACUGGAACGGGGCACGGUCCCAGCUCCCACGGGAGGGCGGCGUUGGGAAUCUUUCCGAAUUGGCGGAAACCCUGCCGAAGCAACGCGCGGUGGGGAAUGAAGUCCUUCGGUCCGUAAACCCUUUUUAUAGGGAAGAACAAAUGUGUAAGUAACUAUGCACGUCUUGACGGUACCUAAUCAGAAAGCCACGGCUAACUACGUG